rnacentral:tRNA from 1 species
AAAUCCGUCGACUUUUAAAAUCGUGAGGGUUCAGCCCCCCUCUAUCCCCAAAUCCCCA